UCGAGCGGACGACGUUGAGCUUGCCUCUUUGAUUCAGCGGCGGACGGGUGAGUAAUGCCUAGGAAUCUGCCUGGUAGUGGGGGACAACGUUUCGAAAGGAACGCUAAUACCGCAUACGUCCUACGGGAGAAAGCAGGGGACCUUCGGGCCUUGCGCUAUCAGAUGAGCCUAGGUCGGAUUAGCUAGUUGGUGGGGUAAUGGCUCACCAAGGCGACGAUCCGUAACUGGUCUGAGAGGAUGAUCAGUCACACUGGAACUGAGACACGGUCCAGACUCCUACGGGAGGCAGCAGUGGGGAAUAUUGGACAAUGGGCGAAAGCCUGAUCCAGCCAUGCCGCGUGUGUGAAGAAGGUCUUCGGAUUGUAAAGCACUUUAAGUUGGGAGGAAGGGCAGUAAGCUAAUACCUUGCUGUUUUGACGUUACCGACAGAAUAAGCACCGGCUAACUCUGUGCCAGCAGCCGCGGUAAUACAGAGGGUGCAAGCGUUAAUCGGAAUUACUGGGCGUAAAGCGCGCGUAGGUGGUUCGUUAAGUUGGAUGUGAAAGCCCCGGGCUCAACCUGGGAACUGCAUCCAAAACUGGCGAGCUAGAGUACGGUAGAGGGUGGUGGAAUUUCCUGUGUAGCGGUGAAAUGCGUAGAUAUAGGAAGGAACACCAGUGCGAAGGCGACCACCUGGACUGAUACUGACACUGAGGUGCGAAAGCGUGGGGGAGCAAACAGGAUUAGAUACCCUGGUAGUCCACGCCGUAAACGAUGUCAACUAGCCGUUGGAAUCUUGAGAUUUUAGUGGCGCAGCUAACGCAUUAAGGUGACCGCUGGGGAGUACGGCCGCAGGUUAAAACUCAUAUGAUUGACGGGGCCCGCAC
rnacentral:rRNA from 1 species